AACCUAGCACACCUGCGGUGUGUACCUGCGGAAGGAUCAUUAUCGAGUUGCAAAACUCCAACCCUUUGUGAACAUACCUCAGUCGUUGCUUCGGCGGUGGACGGCCUGUUUUUCGGAACGGCCGGAAGCCGCCGGAGGUUCCAAACUCGUAUUUUUUAGUGUAUCUCUGAGCCUGAAAACAAAUAAUCAAAACUUUUAACAACGGAUCU
rnacentral:misc_RNA from 1 species